rnacentral:rRNA from 1 species
UCCUACGGGAGGCAGCAGUAGGGAAUAUUGCGCAAUGGACGGAAGUCUGACGCAGCGACGCCGCGUGAGCGAUGAAGGCCUUCGGGUCGUAAAGCUCUGUCCUUGGGGAAGAAGGUCUUCGGACUUGACGGUACCCAAGAAGAAAGCCCCGGCUAACUACGUGCCAGCAGCCGCGGUAAUACGUAGGGGGCGAGCGUUGUCCGGAAUUACUGGGCGUAAAGGGUGCGUAGGCGGCCCUUUAAGUCAGAUGUGAAAGCCCGCAGCUUAACUGCGGAAUUGCAUUUGAAACUGGAGGGCUUGAGUGUCGGAGAGGGUAGUGGAAUUCCCAGUGUAGCGGUGAAAUGCGUAGAUAUUGGGAGGAACACCAGUGGCGAAGGCGACUGCCUGGACGAUAACUGACGCUGAGGCACGAAAGCUAGGGGAGCAAACAGGAUUAGAUACCCUGGUAGUCCUAGCCGUAAACGAUGGGUACUAGGUGUAGGUGGUUUCGAUACCAUCUGUGCCGUAGUUAACGCAUUAAGUACCCCGCCUGGGGAGUACGUGCGCAAGCAUGAAACUCAAAGGAAUUGACGGGGGCCCGCACAAGCGGUGGAGCAUGUGGUUUAAUUCGAAGCAACGCGAAGAACCUUACCAGGUCUUGACAUCACCUAGCAAGCCAUGGAAACAUGGCCCUCCUUCGGGACUGGGUGACAGGUGGUGCAUGGUUGUCGUCAGCUCGUGUCGUGAGAUGUUGGGUUAAGUCCCGCAACGAGCGCAACCCUUGCCUUUAGUUGCCAUCAUUAAGUUGGGGACUCUAAAGGGACUGCCGGUGACAAAUCGGAGGAAGGUGGGGAUGACGUCAAAUCAUCAUGCCCCUUAUGAUCUGGGCUACACACGUGCUACAAUGGGUGGUACAGAGGGAAGCGAAGCCGUGAGGCGGAGCGAAUCCCAGAAAGCCACUCUCAGUUCGGAUUGCAGGCUGCAACUCGCCUGCAUGAAGUCGGAAUCGCUAGUAAUCGCAGGUCAGCAUACUGCGGUGAAUACGUUCCCGGGCCUUGUACACACCGCCCGUCACACCACGAAAGUUCGCAACACCCGAAGCCGGUGGCCUAACCGCAAGGAGGGAGCCGUCGAAGGUGGGGCGGAUGAUUGGGGUGAAGUCGUAACAAGGUAGCCA